GUUUAUGUUUUGUUCACGUGCAUGUGUCACCAGCUUUUCUCGACUAUGGCUUCUUUUCUGAGGUUUUUGCAUGCAGUUUGUUUCAUUCAAAUAUUAUAUUUCCAUUGUUCCUUGUGAUGUUCUCGUGUGCGUUUUUCCUACCUACUGUACAGUGUAUUUUAUAGGCCUGUUUGUAUUUAUGAAAGCAUAUUGUUAUUGAAUUUUUUCCCUUCACAUAUUUAAGCAUUCCUGAUGCAAAGAAGCAUCCAGAAUUGUACAGCAUAUGGGUUGAGUAUAUGAAUAAACAUGCUCCAGUGAAGUCUGUUCCUGCAAAAAGUAGUCGUUUGUGUUCAGAUCACUUUAGUGCUGAUAUGUAUGAGAUAAAGGGCAAAAUCCAGAAAUUAGUAUUGAGACCGGAUGCUAAUACCAACAAUAGCCUCAGGUCAUUGGUGCGAUUUAAAGUGUUAAAGUGUUAUAUGUAACAGUGUGCAUGAUUUACAUUCUUUGCUAGGCGACAAGUCAUUAUUAAUGCCGGGUAGGGGGCUGGAGGAAAUUUUUAUGAAUAGCAAAAAUUUUUCAUGACCCCUUAUUUUUCUAACAAACUAUUUUAUCCCCCCCCUUAUUCAGGCAACAUAUUUCAUAGCCCC